rnacentral:misc_RNA from 1 species
UUUUUUUUUUUUUUAAAAAAAA